GGAAGAGAAAGAAUGCGGGUAAAACGCUAUGCAAGAUACCUACAUUGUACAACAUUACUGUAAAGUCGCCUGAACUUACAUAUCAGCCAGCAAUAUCUGUUUGUACUCUACCAGCUCUUCUAUUCUUUUUUCUGUAUUAAGUCAGAAACAACACUCCAUCACUUGCAAAAAUGAUGAUACCUCUAACGGCGAUAGCCUGAAGAUGGUGGCCCUCUAUCGUUUCUUCUUCCUAAAGCCGAGAAGUGAUUGCUGGAGGGACGUGGGUUGCCAUAACCCCGACCAGCAUUUUGGUUUACUUGCGGAGCCCAUACACCAUCCUGUGGGUUAUAGGGUCCUGGCUCAUAAGGUGGGUGAUAGCAUACUGGCUCAUAAGGUGGGUGAUAGC
rnacentral:misc_RNA from 1 species